CCAUAUGGUCGUAGUUUGUAAGAAGGAUUGAUCACAUGGGACCUGGUGGACCUCCUGGCCCAGGCCCAGGCCCAGGCCCAGGUUGGGGUCCUGGACCUGGGGGCCCUGGGCCUUGCGGCCCUUGCUGCGAUUUACUCUCUUCAUGUUUUUACUUCCUCUGCUGCUGCUGGUUGCUUCGAGACUGCUGUGGCCCGCUAUUUGGCCGACAUCCCGGACCACCUGGACCGCCCUUUUAAUAUGUAGUUGGACUAAAUGGAGUCCUAGUAAUAAUGGGGGGUAUCAGUAAACGGCUCCUCGGAAUCAGUCCGUGUUUUUGUGUACUAAAAUGAUCCUUUCACGCCAGUAUAUUAUUGCUUCUGUAGCUUGGUAAUGGAGGUUGAUGAGUUCUUGUCGAGGAAUUGGCAAUGGACGAUGCAGUUAUCUUCGUUGAAUCAAUGGAUAUUGUUGGCUUUGUGUAAUAA